UACAGAGGUCUCAAGCGUUGUUCGGAUUCAUUGGGCGUAAAGGGUGCGUAGGCGGCGCGGUAAGUCGGGUGUGAAAUCUCGGAGCUUAACUCCGAAACUGCAUUCGAUACUGCCUGUGCUCGAGGACUGGAGAGGAGACUGGAAUUUACGGUGUAGCGGUGAAAUGCGUAGAUAUCGUAAGGAAGACCAGUGGCGAAGGCGGGUCUCUGGACAGUUCCUGACGCUGAGGCACGAAGGUCAGGGGAGCAAACGGG
rnacentral:rRNA from 1 species